rnacentral:rRNA from 1 species
GAUCAUGGCUUAGGACGAACGCUGGCGGCGCGCCUAGCACAUGCAAGUCGAACGAGCAAAGAGGAGCUUGCUUCUCUGAGCGAGUGGCGAACGGGUGAGUAACGCGUGAGGAACCUGCCUCAAAGAGGGGGACAACAGUUGAAAACGACUGCUAAUACCGCAUAAGCCCACGGGUCGGCAUCGACCAGAGGGAAAAGGAGCAAUCCGCUUUGAGAUGGCCUCGCGUCCGAUUAG